rnacentral:lncRNA from 1 species
AUCAUCAACAACAGCAGCAGCAGCAGCAGCAAUCGCUUACCGAUCAUCACCUCUUUAUGCAAGAAGACGAAAUGGCUUCAUGGCUUCACUAUCCUCUCAGCGACGCCAGCUUCGACCACGAUUUCUGUGCUGAUCUCCUCUAUCCUUCCUCCGCCGCCCCUUGCCUUACCUCCACCACCGCCACAACCUCCGCUCCUCCUCCACUCGGGAAAGUUACUCAAGUUUCAGCUUCAGCUGUGGCGUCAGCUUCUAGGCCCCCGAUACCGCCGUCGAGGAGGAAUGAGUUGGAGUCGACGAGGAUUCAGAACUUCGUUCACU